AGUGAACGCUGGCGGUAGGCCUAACACAUGCAAGUCGAACGAGUGGCGGACGGGUGAGGUAUACAUCGGAAUCUACUCUGUCGUGGGGGAUAACGUUGGGAAACUUGCGCUAAUACCGCAUACGAAUGGAUGAGCCGAUGGCGGAUUAGCUAGUUGGCGGGGUGGAGGCCCGCCAGGGCGACGAUCCGUAGCUGGUCUGAGAGGAUGAUCAGCGACACUGGAACAGAGACACGGUCCAGACUCCCACGGGAGGCAGCAGGGGGGAAGAGUGGACAAUUGGCGCAAGCGUGAUAGAGCCAUGCCGCGUGGGUGAAGAAGGCCAUCGGGUUGUAAAGUUGUUAUGUUGGGAAAGCGGUACCCAAAGAAUAAGCGCCGGCUAACUUCGUGCCAGCAGCCGCGGUAAUUC
rnacentral:rRNA from 1 species